rnacentral:antisense_RNA from 1 species
CUCUCUCAGAUGACUAAAGGACAGGAAUGAAGUGCUUCGUGCUGCGUCCUGCCUUCAACGACAGGAAACUGAGUUUGUUACACAAAUCUCUGGAAGAUAUGGAGCUAGGAAGAGCCGUUGCCGUCUGCAGCUUCUGAACACAGUGUGAUAGCACACUUUAUCUGCCAGAGCUCAGUUCCCAACUGUACUAAGGUUUUUAAAGGCACAUUGAAGUUGCAGCCAGCAAACUUCAGUAAGCAACACAGCAACUCCUAAAACAGCCCUAUUUGGGGAGGGGGAGGUAGCCACGCAGAGGCUAAGACUUAUUAACUUCAUUAUAUUAUUGCCAACAGUGUUUAUGUCUUUCAAUUUAUGUCUUAUUAAAUAUUCAUUAUUUUUAAACCC